UUCCAGACUCCUACGGGAGGCAGCAGUGGGGAAUAUUGGACAAUGGGGGGAACCCUGAUCCAGCGACGCCGCGUGAGUGAAGAAGUAUUUCGGUAUGUAAAGCUCUAUCAGCAGGGAAGAAAGAAAUGACGGUACCUGACUAAGAAGCCCCGGCUAACUACGUGCCAGCAGCCGCGGUAAUACGUAGGGGGCGAGCGUUAUCCGGAUUUACUGGGUGUAAAGGGAGCGUAGACGGCGUCGCAAGUCUGAAGUGAAAGCCCGUGGCUCAACCGCGGAACCGCUUUGGAAACUGCGAGGCUGGAGUGCUGGAGGGGUAAGCAGAAUUCCUGGUGUAGCGGUGAAAUGCGUAGAUAUCAGGAGGAACACCGGUGGCGAAGGCGGCUUACUGGACAGUGACUGACGUUGAGGCUCGAAAGCGUGGGGAGCGAACAGGAUUAGAUACCCCAGUAA
rnacentral:rRNA from 1 species